UACGAAGGGGGCUAGCGUUGCUCGGAAUCAUUGGGCGUAAAGCGCGUGUAGGCGGCCCGGUAAGUCCGCUGUGAAAGUCGGGGGCUCAACCCUCGAAUGCCGGUGGAUACUGUCGGGCUAGAGUGCGGAAGAGGCGAGUGGAAUUCCUGGUGUAGCGGUGAAAUGCGCAGAUAUCAGGAGGAACACCAAUUGCGAAGGCAG
rnacentral:rRNA from 1 species